rnacentral:tRNA from 1 species
GUUGCCGGCGGUGACGGCGUGAUCUCGCUGGCGCUGCAGGCGCUGGCCGGCGGCGACGUGCCGUUGGGGAUCAUCCCCGCCGGCACCG